rnacentral:lncRNA from 1 species
CCUUUACUGUACCUUUCAAGUGCCUGCCUGCACAGUAAUGUGCCUUUAUGUGAAAUGCACCUGACUGCACUUAGCCAUUGCAACAAAAUACAUUCUUUCUUCACUGCUUCCGUUAAACGUAGAAUCGCAAAAGAGACCUGUGUUGUUUGAUGUCAUAUGCUCAACAGGAGGAUCAGCACUAACUUGCCAUGUUGUUUUCACCUCCUUUGGGCCAUGCCCACUAGUUAUGUCCACCUUCCACAUUUCUGGGUAAUCAUUCUGAUAGAACUUCUUGACAAGGGCUGGUCUGAUCGGCAGCUGAAACACUUGCUUCUCGUUUAGAGGGUUUUCUUUAUAAUAUUUCAGGCAAGUUUGUGUCAAAGGGAAGAGGUUCUCGUGUUUAAACUGAAGUAAGACUGUACAGCUGACCAUUAUUUCCAACAUAUGAUGAAGCUUUUGGACACGAUGAACUUGCUCUUGUAGAUCUACUGAUGUGGAAAUGAAGUAAUCCAAAUAGGUUAACGUUGUAAGUUCCUG